rnacentral:lncRNA from 10 species
CCAGGUCUCCUCUUCACUACUCUGUGUCCUGUGCUCCUACAGGCCCAGCCUCUGUGGCCCUGUGACCUGCAGGUCAGAGGGACACAGAGCCUGGGCCUCUAGGAGCAGACGACACAGAGUAGUGAAGACCAGACCUGGAGCUCCCGCUGCAGCGAGAGACAAAGGCCCCACCAAACCCAGAAGUCGUCCUGUUCGCUUCAGCUUCAUGCCUGAUUUGAGGAUUUCCUGCCCAGCGUCCCUGACUGGAUAAUGCUUAAGGCUCCGCCCCUUCAGGCCCUGAGUGACAGAAGAUGUCAUCAGAUGCUGGGCUGAGUGAAGAAAGACUGACAACCUAAGCUGCAGCCUUUUCAGAUGAGUGGCCGACUCUGGAGCCCAGGUUGUUUCUUCCCAGUCUGGUGGUGAAUCCUCCAUAGCCUGGGAAUAACCUAUCUACUAAUGGUCAGCACCUGUGUCUUUGUGUCUGAAGCCAAGAAUAAAUUCAUCACCUGGGUAGCCACCGCUGCAACUGAAGCCAUCCACAGUCAAUGUUGGCUAUAUGUUGAGUUGCCGGAGGCUGCCUGGGAUGGGCUAUCUUGAAGAAUCGUCCCUGACAACAUUUCUGAAUGGCUAUAUUGUUACCAGUAGGGCCACAACAACAACAACACUUGCAAUCCAACCUGGGCUUCCUUUCACCACACUAAGCAAUCUAUCUUUGCCAGGUCAGACAAAAGAUGAACUCCACCCUCACCUUGCAUCAAAAGUCUUGAUAUCUUGCCCAAUAAUC